GUCAUUGUUCUGGACACUGGAGACAAAACAGGACAAAGACUCUGUUCUUAGGGAAUGUGAAAUCCAGUGAAAAAAAAGAUAAAGAAAGAAUUCCGCAGUGACCUGGCCAUCUGGUGGUGACGGGAUGGCCUGAGGGGGCCUUGGUGUCAGUGGCCCUGGUGCACUGCCUUUUCCAUUCACUCAGAGACUUAGAUAUAGUGUAUUAAGUCACUGAGAACAAGUGUUCUGCCAUGUACCGUCUACAGAUUAUUAAUUGUGGUGGAGGAAAAUAUACUUUUACAAUGGGAAGAUCUGGCAGAUGUCUUCUAACCAAUGAAUGUGACAUGAUCAAGGUGAUAUCAACUGACAUGAUCUUCCUGAUGAGAGGCAAUGGGAAAUACACAGAUGGAUAGGCUUCUCACCAAAGAAUGUCUCACCCUGAAUCUAAUCAAGAGAAAAUAAGCAAACAAAUUCAGAUUAUAGGGUAUUAUGUUAGGCAGGGCAAUGAGCCAUUCAAAACUAUUAAUAUGAAAUUCAAAAAGUAAAUACAUAAAUACAUAAAAGCAAGGUGAGGGGAAUUAAAAGAGACUAAAGAGACUUUAUUUUGGGGUGUUUGGGUACUGGAUCCAAACAUGAAGGAAAGUACACAGGAAAGGAUAGGAGGAAGGAAGAAAAUAUCUACAAAGGGCAUUUAGGAGACAAAUGGGGAAUUUUGAAUAAAGUCAUGUUAUUAGAGAAUAUUUUUGGUAUUAAAUUCCUUGAAUCUGACUGUUAAUGAAAGAGCAUGAAUGCCUUUGUUUUUUGCUGUUAGCUGGAGAUACCAGCUAAAGUAUCUUAGAUGUGAAAUCCCACGAAAUCUGCAACUUUCAAAUGAUUCCAGAAGAAAAUGAACAUAUGGCACGAAAGACAGAGAGGGAAACAAACACGGCAAAAUGCUUGGUGAAUCAUGAUGAAGCUUCUUGUGAAAGUCAAGUCCAGAAUGUGCUCAGUAAUGAAAGUAAAUAGGGCACAGAACAUGAGAACAUGAACAGGCCUGGAGAAGAGAUGUCCCAAGUCCAUCAUUGCGCAAAGGAGGAAACUGAAGCCCAGAGAGGAAGACAAGUGACCCAGGAUGACAGCUACUGAGUGGAGCAGAGUCAUACCUGGCCCUGAAUCUUCAGACUUCCAGCCUGAGCCUCCCAAGCCUCAUCUUUUGUUGUUUGGCAAAAAGGGCUGCAUAGCAAUGCAAAGUCAGGUGGAACGGAGCACAGGCCUAAGCUUGGCAAAUGUCCCUGAAAACCUGUUGCGAUGAUUAAAAGUUAAUAUGUGUUGGGCGC
rnacentral:lncRNA from 1 species